UAAUGUUAACAUAUAAAAACGUACAAACAUUAUUACAGUUUGUUAUCGUGUAUUGCGGGAAUAUUCUAGUCUAGCGGAAAGGAUGAUUUUUUUGCAUAUUUUGCAAAUAUUUGAUAUAGAAAAUAUGUCUGCAAGAAGAUUUAGCUUGAUUCACAAAAUUGAUAAAGUUAUAGCACCUGGUAAGGAGCGAUUUCCGCCGCGCGCUCAGCAUUCCGGCUGCGAUUUGGUUAGGUUCGGCUAAUGAAUUGCUGAAACGUUGUUUAGGAGAAACACAAAAUAAUAACUAAAGCUUUUUAAAUGUACUGAUUUGGAUUUUUGCUCCAAAACAUCAUCAUUCUGGGGCAAAGAUUGAAGUGGCAACUUUUCUGCAUGCGGAGAUGUACGCAAAUUUUCGGAAGAAAACUCGCACGAAACAGCGUUCAACUGAUUUCCUUAAAGAUGAGAGACUAAAUCGCAGGGAAGAGAGAACAGCGCAGUAAGACUUUUAUAUGCAGGAGGAAGGUUCCCUGCAUGGCCCUACACUAGCUGAUUGAUCAUUUUAGAAGCAGAAUAGCCAGAAUCAUAAGAGCCAUGCCAGAACAGUCAUCAUA